AGUGAACGCUGGCGGUAGGCCUAACACAUGCAAGUCGAACGGCAGCACAGUAAGCGCUUGCUCUUACGGGUGGCGAGUGGCGGACGGGUGAGGAAUACAUCGGAAUCUACUUUUUCGUGGGGGAUAACGUAGGGACACUUACGCUAAUACCGCAUACGACCUACGGGUGAAAGCAGGGGAUCUUCGGACCUUGCGCGAUUGAAUGAGCCGAUGUCGGAUUAGCUAGUUGGCGGGGUAAAGGCCCACCAAGGCGACGAUCCGUAGCUGGUCUGAGAGGAUGAUCAGCCACACUGGAACUGAGACACGGUCCAGACUCCUACGGGAGGCAGCAGUGGGGAAUAUUGGACAAUGGGCGCAAGCCUGAUCCAGCCAUACCGCGUGGGUGAAGAAGGCCUUCGGGUUGUAAAGCCCUUUUGUUGGGAAAGAAAAGCAGCAGGUUAAUACCCCGCUGUUCUGACGGUACCCAAAGAAUAAGCACCGGCUAACUUCGUG
rnacentral:rRNA from 1 species